rnacentral:tRNA from 1 species
GCCAGGUUAGUGUAGUGGUAACACGUCACAAAGAAGACCCAGGUUCGAUUCCUGGACCAGGCA